CUCAGUUGGUAGAGCAGAGGAC
rnacentral:tRNA from 2 species